rnacentral:rRNA from 1 species
UACGUAGGGGGCAAGCGUUGUCCGGAAUCAUUGGGCGUAAAGAGCGUGUAGGCGGCCCGGUAAGUCCGCUGUGAAAGUCCAGGGCUCAACCCUGGGAUGCCGGUGGAUACUGUCGGGCUCGAGUCCGGAAGAGGAGUGUGGAAUUCCUGGUGUAGCGGUGAAAUGCGCAGAUAUCAGGAGGAACACCAAUGGCGAAGGCAGCACUCUGGGACGUGACUGACGCUCAGGCACGAAAGCGUGGGGAGCAAACAGG